rnacentral:rRNA from 1 species
UACAGAGGUCUCAAGCGUUGUUCGGAUUCAUUGGGCGUAAAGGGUGCGUAGGCGGCGUGGUAAGUCGGAUGUGAAAUCUCGGAGCUUAACUCCGAAACUGCAUUCGAUACUGCCGUGCUUGAGGACUGGAGAGGAGACUGGAAUUUACGGUGUAGCGGUGAAAUGCGUAGAUAUCGUAAGGAAGACCAGUGGCGAAGGCGGGUCUCUGGACAGUUCCUGACGCUGAGGCACGAAGGCCGGGGAGCAAACGGG